GGGGAGCAAUCCCUGAGUAGAGUGGCAAACGGGUGAGUAACACGUGGGUGACCUGCCUCAGAGUGGGGGAUAACGUCCCGAAAGGGACGCUAAUACCGCAUAACAUCCUGCCUUUGGAAAGGCGGAGAUCAAAGCCGGGGAUCGCAAGACCUGGCGCUUGGAGAGGGGCCCGCGUCUGAUUAGCUAGUUGGUAGGGUAAUGGCCUACCAAGGCAACGAUCAGUAUCCGGCCUGAGAGGGCGGACGGACACACUGGGACUGAGACACGGCCCAGACUCCUACGGGAGGCAGCAGUGGGGAAUUGUUCGCAAUGGGCGCAAGCCUGACGACGCAACGCCGCGUGGAGGAUGAAGAUCUUCGGGUCGUAAACUCCUGUCGAGCGGGAAGAACACUUUCCGGGCGAAUAUCCCGGAAGGCUGACGGUACCGCUAAAGGAAGCCCCGGCUAACUCCGUGCCAGCAGCCGCGGUAAUACGGGGGGGGCAAGCGUUGUUCGGAAUUACUGGGCGUAAAGGGCUCGUAGGCGGCCAACUAAGUCAGACGUGAAAUCCCCAGGCUCAACCUGGGAACUGCGUCUGAUACUGGAUGGCUUGAAUCCGGGAGAGGGAUGCAGAAUUCCAGGUGUAGCGGUGAAAUGCGUAGAUAUCUGGAGGAAUACCGGUGGCGAAGGCGGCAUCCUGGACCGGCAUUGACGCUGAGGAGCGAAAGCCAGGGGAGCAAACGGGAUUAGAUACCCCGGUAGUCCUGGCCCUAAACGAUGAAUGCUUGGUGUAACGGGUAUCGAUCCCUGUUGUGCCGAAGCUAACGCAUUAAGCAUUCCGCCUGGGGAGUACGGUCGCAAGGCUG
rnacentral:rRNA from 1 species